AUGUGAUUAAAGAAUCCCUAGUUCAAAAGACCUUGCACAUGGGAUCAGAAUAGUCGGUGCAUUUAAUGAUUGAACCAACCGCGUUUUUUUAGCCCAACCGCGGACCCAUUUGCAAUUGAACCAACCGUGUUUUUUCUUUUGCGUUACAGCCUGCUUUCCAAAUCCCCAAUCACGUUACCUAGGUAAGUCUUCUUCCUCAUUCCAAAACCCGACUCCUUUGUUGCCGUCUGCUGCUAUUUAAUCUCUAAGAAAAUCCAUAUCUCCAAUUUGAAGUCUUAAGAUAUGGAAGAGGAAGAGGUUAGUAUGAAGCCAGUAGAAAUAGAUUUUGAUUGAUUAGUUGAAAAUAUUCCUGUGGUGGAUUUCAAAAUUUUUAGAACAAUAUAUAGUUGUUUUUGUGCAAUUUAAGAUUCUUACAAAGCUUAAUUGCAUAAAAAUAUUCCUGUGGUGAAUCUUGUUUUUAGAACAAGAUAUAGUUGGUUUUCAGACUUGCAGUGGACUGCAUCUUCGGAUUCUUCGCUUUUAGGAUUUGGAAUUAAAUUUACAUAAUAAUUUGCUAUUCUUUAUAUUCCCUUGAGUUGGGUGUUUACAUGAAUUGGACAGAUUUUUAUCAUCUUAUUACUUUACAUUCAUUGUCCAUUCCAUGUAUUUCUUGAACCACGAAAUCUGUUGAAGACAGAUUCAAGAUUAGUCUUUCAGUUUAUAUCAAUUUUGAUUGGUGAAAGGCUUUAAAUCUAUUCAGUUUGAGGUGUUAAUUAUUUGAUUGGUGGUUUUGUAGAACAUUUUCUGCUAAAAUAUUGCUGAUCUUUGUUGUCAAGAUGCUUAGAGCCGGUUCCUUGUUAGAGACACUGACACAGUUAUUACCAGGACUUGUUUAAUGGAGUAAUAACAUAUUUCCUUGUUGGAGACACUUACACAUAACAGAAGCAUCCAUGCAUACCCCUCAAUCAUGAGUAUACAAAAUCUUGAAGGAAACAAACAAAUGAUUAAUUGUGAAAUACUAAUAACCAUCUGAAAAAAAAUAAUAAUAAUAAAAUAAAAAAUAUAUAUAUGUGUGUGUGUGUGUUUGUGUGUGUGUGUACACUCAAGGUGGUUGGUUGUAGGAUAAUUUUGCUUUUGGUGGAUUUCACUAGUUUCAUUACCUUUUUUGUUUGGUAAACUCAAAUUGAAAAUAUCGUAAUUCAUAGUCUCCAAUGUUGAAUAAUAGUCAUAACUUGUAUAUAUGAGGUCAACACUUGGCAACAAAUUUCCCAUAUGAAUUGGUUCUUAUCACUAUUGCAAUAUCAUUUAAUGGUGAAUACUAAAUCUUUGUAAUUGAACUUGUUUUCUUUGUAUAGUUAACUGGUGUUAAUAGUAUACCGCAUAGUUCUUCUCCAACAAAGAAUCGUGCAAGAGGAAGAACUGAUAUGGCAUGGGGCCAUUGUAGAGAGGUUUUAGAAGCUGGUUAAAAAAAAAAAAAAAAAAAAAAAAACCUUGUUUGCCUGUAUUGUGGAAAGACUUUUGGUGGAGGUGAUAUUAAUCGAGCCAAAUAACACUUAGCGGGAUUAAAUGGUGAUUUAGAUUCUUGUCAUAGAAUACUUCCUGAUGUUAGAUUUAAAAUGAAAGGAAACUUGGACAUCUUUGCCGCAAAGAAGCGUAGAGCUCAAGAAGUUCUUGAUAAAUGUAACCCACAUAGCUCUUAUUAUCGAGAACAAGAAAAGCAAAUGUAUAGAGAUUUGGGUGAUGAUGUUCAAGAGAUCAUCCCUCCUAAUUCUAAAGGAAAUGAUAUAGCUAUUGAGAAAAAGUCAAAGAAAAGGAAUGGGAGCUAAACAUUUAAAAGAACAAAAAGUAAUUAGUUCUUACUUCAUGUCAAGAAUAAGACCUGAUAAUCAACCUACUAUCAAAAGUGUCGUUCAGAGCAAAGAAACUAUAGAGAAAUGUGAUCUCACUAUAUUGAAAUGGAUGAUUGAUUCGUGUAUUCCUUUCAAUGCUGUAAAUUCUGUGUAUUAUCAACGAAGUAUAGAUGCUAUAGCUAGCAUGGGUCUUGACUAUAAAGAUCCGAACUUUCACAGAAUUAUGUUGAAAGCUAUCGUUCAACGUGGAAGACGACUGAUUGUACAAUUAUAGCAGAUGGUUGGACAGAUCAAUGUAAAAGAACUCUUAUUAAUUUUUUAGUUUAUUGUCCAAAAGGAACGGUAUUCUUAAAAUCUAUAGAUGCUUCAUAUUUGACUAUAUAUGAUUCAGAAUUUGUGAAAUUGGGAUACAAAUUGAUAUUUAGUUAACAAAAUAAUAUGAGGUUAAUUUAGUUAUUCGUGGAAAAUGGAAAAAAAUUAUUAUUCAAUGAAAAUAGAUAAUAAUAUUUUUUUAUAGGAUUUGACCCGCCGGUUGAACCACCGAGUCACCAGUUGAACCACUGACCCGUUGACCCACUGCAUUAUCCAGGUCGACGUCCAGGUCGGGUCUGACAAUUGGAAUCCAUAAAAAAUUUAUGAUUAUUAAUUAAUUAAUCACGCUUGAAGGUUCCUUUAACGGAUCAGUUUAGAAGUCUUUGCGAUCAAAAUUUAUAUUUGUAAAAUAAGGUGUUCUAUUUAAUCGGAAUCUCUAUGCAAUAUCAAUUUGUGAUUUAUAGUUUCAAUUAUGAUCGUAUGAUUUGUUUAAUCACAUUCUUAUUGCAUUAACAGUGGGGAACAGAUAGAAUCAAAUAUUAACUAUCAAUUGCUGAAUCGUAUGGUAGAAUAAGAUCUAUUUAUUUACCAUUUAAACGCGUCUUCAUUUGUAUUUUUAAUUAAUUGGUGCAGUGAGUAUUCAAUAAAUUAUAGACAUUAUUAUAACUAUAUGGUGUUCGUGCAGGAACGUGACUAAGAAAAAUGUUUCGUUUCAAUUAUUUUCAGCUGAAACCAUGGACUCGUAUGUAUGGCCAAAUCAUUUGAAACUUUAGAUGUGCAGCAGCCUAAGAAAAGUUUUGUUUAUGUAGCUUCGUGAAGCUCCAAGCUAUGGCGUUUCUUUUUGGAAAUGAUAAACAUAGUACUAUACAUUUUUGCACAAAAAAUAUCUUUAUAUUAAUAACAACUUUAGCAUUAAUCGUUCUCACAGUUGUCCGUUUAGAUUACCCUUUUCUUUCUUACAAGAAUCCUGCAGAAAUUUCCCCUACAUACCAUGUAAAGGAUGAUUCAACAAAUUUUGAGCAUCGAAAUGAGAAGUGCGAUAUUUCUGUGGGAGAAUGGAUUCCGAAUCCCGAGGCUCCAUACUACACGAAUACAACGUGUAGGGCAAUACAUGAGCACCAGAACUGCAUGAAAUAUGGAAGGCCGGACGAAGAGUUCAUGAAAUGGAAAUGGAAACCCGAUGGCUGUGAUUUGCCUGUUUUCGACCCGUACGCGUUUCUUGAUAUUGUUAGGGGCAAGUCCGUGGCCUUUGUUGGAGAUUCUUUGGCUAGGAACCAUAUGCAAUCCUUGAUCUGCCUCUUAUCCAGGGUAAAUUCAUAAUUUUAUAUGUAUUUUCAUUUUUACAGUUAAAUAAGUAUGUGCCCUGGAGGCUAUCACAUGUUGAUGAUCAUUCGAUGAAGAAUAGCAGGUACGAAUAGAACUGGAUGACAAAUAUCUUGUUUGAUUUCAGGUGGAGAAUCCCAUCGAUGCACAUUUUAAUGGUUCGGAGUAUUUGAGUUACAAUUUCACAAUUGCCCGGUUUUGGUCGCCCUUUCUCGUGAAGUCCAAAGAGGAAAACUCUGAUCUUUUCAAUCUCUACCUCGAUGAAUUUGACGAAUCCUGGACAAACUAUAUAGAUAAAUUUGAUUACAUUAUUCUCAGUGCCGGGCAAUGGUUUCGCCGGCCAGCCAUGUAUUACGAGAAUCACCAGCUCGUGGGGUGCAACUAUUGCAAAAUUCCAAAUGUCACUAACUUUUGGAUAACUUAUGGCUACGAGAGGGCGUUCAGAACAGCUUUUAAAGCAAUAAAUACUUUAGGAAACUACAAAGGGAUAACCUUUUUAAGGACUUUUACACCAUCCCACUUUGAAAAUGGGGAGUGGAACGAGGGAGGGAAUUGUAUAAGACAAAGACCAUUUAAAAGAAAUGAGAGUAUUUUGGAAGGUAUGAAUAUGGAUUUUUACAUGAUUCAACUCAAGGAAUUUAGGGUUGCGAAAAUCGAAGGGAAGAAGAAGGGGUCGAGAUUUAGAUUGAUUGAUCCAACACGAGCUAUGCUAUUAAGGCCAGAUGGGCACCCCAGUAAAUAUUGGCGUUGGAUACCUGAGAAUGUGAAUGUGACUGAACUCAAUGAUUGUGUACAUUGGUGCUUGCCUGGGCCUAUUGAUUCUUGGAGUGAUUUCUUGCUUCAUCUGUUGAAGAUGGAUCCCUUGCUUGACCAAAGGGAUGAAUAUUAAAUUAUUGAUUAUAAUUUUCAGUGUAUGUAAUCGUUCUAAACAAAAAAUGAUUUUAUUAUAUAUCUCUAAGAGUAUGUAGUAGUGCGACCAAUAAUUAUUUUUCCAUGGAUAUUGAUUGCAAAAUUGAGGAUCGAGUAGCGGAUUCGGCAACAGCAAGUAGGUCUGGCCCUGUCGCCCUGAGAGUUGAAACAUUGUCGAUUUUGAUUCAAAUUUUAUGUGAUGAAUAUAGCAACGUCAUCUAUAGUUUCGUUAGUAACGUUUUCCCUAAGAGAAAUUAGUUGCAGACAAAACUGUUGACAAAAUUACUUAAAAUUGUAAUUUUC
rnacentral:lncRNA from 1 species